CCCAUCUUAACAACACCAGUUUUGUGUAUUGCACUGCUAGAGGAUGUGGUGUGCAUAGAAUGUGUCAGAACAGGCUGACACUCAGAAAGUAUGUGAAAACUAAAAGAAGAAAAAAAAAAAUCCCAGGAAGGAAAGUGUUGUCACCUCUAGUACAAAAACUCCAGACACUACAGAAAUUCACAGCAAGCACAUCUGUUUCAUUUGCAGCCUCAUGGUUUACUUUAUAAUUUGCAAACACAAUCAGGGUUGUUCAAGUCAAAAUGGUAUUUCUCAACUGAUUUUCAAGGGGCACUCUGAGAUGCAAAGCUGGCAGAAACCCGAGGACACCUCCCAAACAAAUGAACUCUGCAACUCAAUUUUAAGCAAGGGAGAAAUGUUUCCCCUGUGUUGCUUUGUGGGAAUAGUGACAAGAAAGUAAACAUUUUCAAGGAGAUAUCAUCACAUCACAGAAGAAGUAUCCCUACUUAAAAGGUAGAUAUAAUACUGUUCUUCCAAAGGAUGUUAUUUCUUGGCAGUGUCCCUGAAAUUGUUUUUACACUGUGGGAAUGACCUCUGAAGAAUGUCUUAAAGUCAAAUUUGUCUUUGAGCUAUUUCUGUUCUAUUUAAGGUAUCCUGGAGAUAUUUUCAAAGCCACAGGAAUCCCAUUCAAGUAGAAGUUGAGGUUGGAAAGCACUGUAUUUGAUGUGUUCAUCCACAGGUGUUUGUUUCAUUAUGUUAUACCCAAAUGAUCACAUAUUAUGACUGUUGUCAUCAUUUGUGCUUUUAUCUGGCAGCCUCUUCAGGAACUCAUUAUUAUUUCCUCUUUCUCCUCUCUCCUUCACUGUUUCUGUGAAGUUAUAGGGAAAUUUGCUAUGAGUUUGUGUCAGAACAGUUCUUACCCUUGAUCCCUUCUAUAAGGGUUAAGUUACAGGCAAAAUUACCAAAUGUCUAAUUUUCAGCAUGCCCAGAAUAAUAACUCUGACAUGCCCACUUCAACAGCUGCUGCAAACUGAAAAACUUAAGAAGUCCUCUUAUAGACUUCUACCAUGCAUAUUUUGUGUGACAAUCUGCUCAUUUUAAGCAGUCAUGACUAGAUGAAUAAAAGUACCUGAAAUAAGUGCCAUUGAACUCUUUAGAAAGAGCUAGGCCAGAAUGAACAGAGUAGAAAUUUUCAUUAGCUAUGGGAAAAGUAAGAAAUUGUGAAACAUUGCCAUUACAGUUGAAAAACUCAAGUGACACCUUGUAUCAGCACAUAUUGUGUAUACAUUUCUACUAGAGUCACUCCCCAGGUACGGUCAGAUGUCUGCAGAACAUCAGGACUCUCUGGUACUCCCAUGCUUUUGGUGUGCUCACUGCUCUGUAGCAUUUUUUUGUACCCAGCUCAAGAUACAUAAGGAAUCCAGACUCACCUAUCUCUCUUUUCCCUUCAUAUAAUUUCCUCAAAACCUGGCAUUUUUUUCUUGCUGCAGCAGUCAUUUUUAUUUCUCUUUCUUCUGCUCUCCAAAGAUAAGCUGUGCAAGACUCCUAAGAUGAAUCAUGAAAAAAAUAAAUCCUUUCUUAUGAA